rnacentral:rRNA from 1 species
CAAUAGCGUAUAUUUAAGUUGUUGCAGUUAAAAAGCUCGUAGUUGGAUUUCGGUUAAGAGCGACCGGUCCGCCGUUUGGUGUGCACUGGUUGGUUUUAACUUCCUGUAGAGGACGUGCUCUGGGUUUAACGACCUGGACUCGGAGUCUACGUGGUUACUUUGAAAAAAUUAGAGUGUUCAAAGCGGGCUUACGCUUGAAUAUUUCAGCAUGGAAUAACACUAUAGGACUCCUGUCCUAUUUCGUUGGUCUCGGGACGGGAGUAAUGAUUAAGAGGAACAGUUGGGGGCAUUCGUAUUUCAUUGUCAGAGGUGAAAUUCUUGGAUUUAUGAAAGACGAACUUCUGCGAAANCANNNGCCAAGGAUGUUUUCAUNAA